UACGGAGGGUGCAAGCGUUAAUCGGAAUUACUGGGCGUAAAGCGUGUGUAGGCGGUAAAGUCAGUCAGCCGUGAAAGCCCUGGGCUUAACCUGGGAACGGCGGUUGAGACGGCUUAACUCGAGUGGGCUAGAGGAUCGUGGAAUUCCGGGUGUAGCGGUGAAAUGCGUAGAGAUCCGGAGGAACACCGAUGGCGAAGGCAGCGAUCUGGGGCCACACUGACGCUGAGACACGAAAGCGUGGGGAGCAAACAGGAUUAGAUACCCUGGUAGUCCACGCGGUAAACGAUGAGCACUAGACGGUGGGCAGGUGACUGCCCGGUGUCGUAGCUAACGCGCUAAGUGCUCCGCCUGGGGAGUACGGCCGCAAGGUUGAA
rnacentral:rRNA from 1 species